rnacentral:rRNA from 1 species
GAAACUCGCCUACAUGAAGCUGGAGUUACUAGUAAUCGCAGAUCAGAAUGCUGCGGUGAAUGCGUUCCCGGGUCUUGUACACACCGCCCGUCACACCACGGAAGUUGGGGGCGCCCGAAGCCACUUAGCUAACCCAUUUGGGAAGCGAGUGUCGAAGGUGAAAUCAAUAACUGGGGUGAAGUCGUAACAAGGUAUC